AUUGAACGCUGGCGGCAUGCCUUACACAUGCAAGUCGAACGGCAGCACGGGUGCUUGCACCUGGUGGCGAGUGGCGAACGGGUGAGUAAUACAUCGGAACAUGUCCUGUAGUGGGGGAUAGCCCGGCGAAAGGCGGAUUAAUACAGCAAACGAUCUACGGAUGAGAGCGGGGGAACUGCGGGCCUCGCGCUAUAGGGUUGGCCGAUGGCUGAUUAGCUAGUUGGUGGGGUAAAGGCCUACCAAGGCGACGAUCAGUAGCUGGUCUGAGAGGACGACCAGCCACACUGGGACUGAGACACGGCCCAGACUCCUACGGGAGGCAGCAGUGGGGAAUUUUGGACAAUGGGCGAAAGCCUGAUCCAGCAAUGCCGCGUGUGUGAAGAAGGCCUUCGGGUUGUAAAGCACUUUUGUCCGGAAAGAAAUCCUUGGCCCUAAUACGGUCGGGGGAUGACGGUACCGGAAGAAUAAGCACCGGCUAACUACGUG
rnacentral:rRNA from 1 species